rnacentral:lncRNA from 1 species
CAGAAAUGUGCAAAGGAGAAUGUCAGUCUUGCAUGGAUUCUGUAGAUGGAGAUAGUGUUUUAUGACCUGUUUCUGGGAGAGAAAGACAUGGACAAGUCUCAUCCUGCAUCUGCAGGCUAAGUGGUCCUUCAAGACUCAAAGGCUGAGAAGUGCCAGUCUGUGCUUGGAAAUGGGAGAUGGAGACACACCUAAGUGUGAUGGUGUGCCUGGCUGCAACCUGGGGAGCAUGGCUGGACUCCCACAGCUGGGUGUGUGAGCAUUUCACAGAUUCCAUACGGAGAGAUGUCAUACAGCAAAGGAUCCAGAAUCCUGUGUGCCAGCUUCAUUUGCAAGUCCCGUCCUCUCAAAGAGAUUAGACUAGACCUGAAGAAGCUUUGGAGAAGUCAUCAGUUACAUUCAAAGGUCUGAGAAAGCCCCGUUGUGAGGAACAACUAAGCAGAGCAGGACUCUUCAACCUAGAGAGAACUGAGGAGUCUGUGGCAGAUGCCUACAAAACUGAAAGCAGC